rnacentral:rRNA from 1 species
GACGAACGCUGGCGGCGUGCUUAACACAUGCAAGUCGAACGGAAAGGCCCUGCUUUUGUGGGGUGCUCGAGUGGCGAACGGGUGAGUAACACGUGAGUAACCUGCCCUUGACUUUGGGAUAACUUCAGGAAACUGGGGCUAAUACCGGAUAGGAGCUCCUGCUGCAUGGUGGGGGUUGGAAAGUUUCGGCGGUGGGGGAUGGACUCGCGGCUUAUCAGCUUGUUGGUGGGGUAGUGGCUUACCAAGGCGUUGACGGGUAGCCGGCCUGAGAGGGUGACCGGCCACAUUGGGACUGAGCUACGGCCCGGACUCCUACGGGAGGCAGCAGUGGGGAAUAUUGCACAAUGGGCGGAAGCCUGAUGCAGCAACGCCGCGUGCGGGAUGACGGCCUUCGGGUUGUAAACCGCUUUCGCCUGUGACGAAGCGUGAGUGACGGUAAUGGGUAAAGAAGCACCGGCUAACUACGUG